rnacentral:rRNA from 1 species
UAGUCCUACGGGAGGCAGCAGUGGGGAAUAUUGGGCAAUGGGCGCAAGCCUGACCCAGCAACGCCGCGUGAAGGAAGAAGGCUUUCGGGUUGUAAACUUCUUUUAUGAGGGACGAAAGAAAUGACGGUACCUCAUGAAUAAGCCACGGCUAACUACGUGCCAGCAGCCGCGGUAAUACGUAGGUGGCAAGCGUUAUCCGGAUUUACUGGGUGUAAGGGGCGUGUAGGCGGGAGAGCAAGUCAGACGUGAAAUUCCAGGGCUCAACCCUGGAACUGCGUUUGAAACUGGUCUUCUUGAGUGAUGGG